rnacentral:rRNA from 1 species
GACGAACGCUGGCGGCGUGCCUAAUACAUGCAAGUAGAACGCUGAAGGAGGAGCUUGCUCUUCUGGAUGAGUUGCGAACGGGUGAGUAACGCGUAGGUAACCUGCCUGGUAGCGGGGGAUAACUAUUGGAAACGAUAGCUAAUACCGCAUAACAUUGACUAUUGCAUGAUAGUCAAUUAAAAGGUGCAAAUGCACCACUACCAGAUGGACCUGCGUUGUAUUAGCUAGUUGGUGGGGUAACGGCUCACCAAGGCGACGAUACAUAGCCGACCUGAGAGGGGGAUCGGCCACACUGGGACUGAGACACGGCCCAGACUCCUACGGGAGGCAGCAGUAGGGAAUCUUCGGCAAUGGACGGAAGUCUGACCGAGCAACGCCGCGUGAGUGAAGAAGGGUUUCGGAUCGUAAAGCUCUGUUGUAAGAGAAGAACGAGUGUGAGAGUGGAAAGUUCACACUGUGACGGUAUCUUACCAGAAAGGGACGGCUAACUACGUG